UUAAAUCCUCAGAAAUGUGUAAAGUUUCAUUAAUUGACAUGUGAUAGAAAAAACUUCUAAAGAAGUUUACUUUAGUUAGCUACCAAGAUACCUCUACCCUAUCAAAAGCACACCAUUAUUUAGAUACUAGGUGACAAUGUUCAUGCACUAUUAUACCUGCAGUGACAAAGGUGGAUGAUGGGUUUCUGCUCUCUAGAAUUGGAGUUUCAUGGUCUUUCUGGACUUCCAACCUGUUGAAGCCUUCAUGGUCCGCAACAUUGCUAAACUGGUUCCUGCAUUUAACCGGGUUUUUAUUAAAACUUCCUUUUCUUUUUUAUUAUCCAAUCCUUAAUCCAUAUAUGCUGUUUUAAUUAUUCAUGUUUUCUGUAACUAAAACUUUUGGGUUCUUUUCCCAUGGUUGAGGUACUCUGGUGUUGGAGCAGGCAUUGAAUAUGCUGUGAAAUAUUUAAAAUACUUCAUAAAUGAGUGGGUCAAAAUCGGGUUACCUGCCAAGCCCAAGGUCCUGACAGAGCAUCCACAUCUCUCACAUGAAGAGCAAUGCCAUAUUUUUGAAAAGGAAGCAGUGAAUCUGUCACUGAUAAACAUUCAGAGCUGCCCAUAUAUUAGAGCAGCAAUGGCUUUGGAAAAACUACCACUGAAGGGUCGCUAAUAUAAUUUGUUGACGGAUCCUUUGAGCUUUGGAAGAUCAAGUAUCACAUUACAUACCCUACUACCAUAAUUACACGCUGAAGUCUCUCUCCCCAUUUCGUUUUGCUUGCUCUUUUGGUCUAAGCAUGCAUGUGCUUUUUGUUUGCCUUUGGUCUUUGCAAAAAUAAUAAUAAUAAUAAUA
rnacentral:misc_RNA from 1 species